rnacentral:rRNA from 1 species
AUGGUUGAUAUGGGAGUACGACCGAAUGCAAUUGUUUAUCAUUCCCUAAUCCGGGGUUUUUGUACACAUGGGGAUUUAGUGAAAGCAAAGGAAUUGGUUACUGAAAUGAGGAACAAAGCUAUGCGUCCUCCUCAUAUUAAGUUCUUCCAUUCAAUAAUGCAGAACCUAUGCACGGAAGGAAGGGUAAUAGAAGCACGGGAUAUCCUCGACUUGAUGCUGCACAUAGGUAUGAGGCCUGAUGUUCCCAUCUUUAAUUUACUAAUCGGUGGAUACUGCCUAGUCCGCGAGAUGGAGGAUGCAACAAAAAUGUUUGAUGAUAUGGUGUCAUAUGGUUUAGAACCUUGUAACAAUACGUAUGGUAUACUUAUUAAUGGCUAUUGCAAAAAUAGAAGGAUUGAUGACGGGCUUAUUCUAUUCAAAGAGAUGCUGCGCAAGGGACUUAAACCUACAACUUUUAAUUAUAACGUCAUACUGGAUGGAUUAUUUCUGGCUGGACGAACUGUUGCUGCAAAGGUGAAGUUUAAUGAGAUGGUUGAAUCUGGAGUAAGUGUGUGCAUUGAUACAUACUCUAUAGUUCUUGGUGGACUUUGUAGAAAUAAUUGCACCGGUGAAGCAAUCACGCUGUCCAAGAAAUUAAGUACAAUGAAUGUCAAAUUCAAUAUUGCAAUUGUCAAUAUCUUGAUUGGUGCAUUCUUCAGGGUUCGGCGAAACCAAGAAGCUAAGGAUUUGUUUGCUGCUAUACCAGCCAAUGGCUUGGUUCCUAAUGCUGUUACCUACACCAUAAUGAUGACAAAUCUUAUAAAAGAAGGUUCAGUGGAAGAAGCUGACACUCUCUUUUUAUCAAUGGAGAAGAGCGGGUGUACUGCCAACUCUUGUAUGUUAAAUCAUAUUAUCAGAAGGUUACUGGAAAGAGGAGAGAUAGUCAAGGCUGGAAAUUAUAUGUCGAAAGUUGAUGCAAAGAGCUACUCACUUGAAGCUAAAACUGUUUCGCUGCUGAUCUCCCUCUUGUCAGGGAAAGGGAAAUAUAGAGAACACAUAAAAUUGCUCCCUAUGAAGUAUCAGUUUCUCGAAGAAGCAGCCACAGUUGAA